AGUGAACGCUGGCGGUAGGCCUAACACAUGCAAGUCGAACGGCAGCACAGUAAGAGCUUGCUCUUACGGGUGGCGAGUGGCGGACGGGUGAGGAAUACAUCGGAAUCUACUUUUUCGUGGGGGAUAACGUAGGGAAACUUACGCUAAUACCGCAUACGACCUACGGGUGAAAGCAGGGGAUCUUCGGACCUUGCGCGAUUGAAUGAGCCGAUGUCGGAUUAGCUAGUUGGCGGGGUAAAGGCCCACCAAGGCGACGAUCCGUAGCUGGUCUGAGAGGAUGAUCAGACACACUGGAACUGAGACACGGUCCAGACUCCUACGGGAGGCAGCAGUGGGGAAUAUUGGACAAGGGGCGCAAGCCUGAUCCAGCCAUACCGCGUGGGUGAAGAAGGCCUUCGGGUUGUAGAGCCCUUUUGUUGGGAAAGAAAAGCAGCAGGUUAAUACCCCGCUGUUCUGACGGUACCCAAAGAAUAAGCACCGGCUAACUUCGUG
rnacentral:rRNA from 1 species